rnacentral:rRNA from 1 species
GAUGAACGCUGGCGGCGUGCCUAACACAUGCAAGUCGAGCGGCAGCGAAGGGUGCUUGCACCCUGUCGGCGAGCGGCGGACGGCUGAGUAACGCGUGGGAACGUGCCCCAAAGUGAGGAAUAACUGCCCGAAAGGGUAGCUAAUACCGCAUAUUAUCUUCGGAUCAAAGGAUUUAUCCGCUUUGGGAGCGGCCCGCGUCGGAUUAGGUAGUUGGUGAGGUAAUGGCUCACCAAGCCGACGAUCCGUAGCUGGUCUGAGAGGAUGACCAGCCAGACUGGAACUGAGACACGGUCCAGACUCCUACGGGAGGCAGCAGUGAGGAAUCUUCCACAAUGGGCGAAAGCCUGAUGGAGCAACGCCGCGUGCAGGACGAAGGCCUUCGGGUUGUAAACUGCUUUUAU